UCUACGGAGAGUUUGAUCCUGGCUCAGGACGAACGCUGGCGGCGUGCUUAAUACAUGCAAGUCGAGCGACGAAAGGAGAGGGGGUAACCCCUCUCCCUGAAAGCGGCGAACGGGUGAGUAACACGUGGGUAACGUGCCCCGGACUCCGGGAUAACAACGGGAAACCGUUGCUAAUACCGGAUGACCCCUGCGUACCGCAUGGCAUGCAGGGCAAAGUUUUUCGGUCCGGGAUCGGCCCGCGGUGUAUCAGCUUGUUGGUGGGGUAACGGCCUACCAAGGCUUUGACGCAUAGCUGG
rnacentral:rRNA from 1 species